CCCUCAGACUUCUCUUUUCCCAGGUGGGCCAGUUCUUGGCCUCGCGGGCUUACGUCAUGGGAGGAAUGCGGUGACGCGACGCUGCUCUUGUGACGUCGACGACGAAGGCCGGGCUCCCGGUUCGAUGAUGUCAUCGGGUCCUUUUUCCUCCCCCUGCUGCCCUGCGAUGAAGUUCUCAAGCCACAGCAGGGACAAUGCCAAAUCCUUGACCUUCUGAGCCAUGAGGGAACUUCCACAAGAGCUUUGAAAAGGUGAGAUCUCCAGCAUUUGUUGUUAUGUGGAGUGGGGGGGUGGGUGGAGGGAGGAAGGUGUAGAAGAACAUAUGAAACAUGCUACCUUGAACUGAAAUUCUGACACAUGCUACCACAGGGAUGAACCUUGAAACAUUAUGCCAAAUGCAAGAAGCUGGACCUAAAAGGCACAUUCAUAGAGACAAAAAGUAGAAUGAUGGUUACCAGGAACUGGAGGGUGGAGUGGAGGAAUGGAGAAUUAUUGUUUAAUUAGGUAGAGUUUCAGUUUGGAGAGAUGAAAAAUUUCUGGAGAUGGCUAGUGGUGAUGGUUGCAUGACAAUAUGGAUGUCUUAAUGCCACUGAACUGUGCACUUAAAAAUGGUUAGGAUGUGGAGUUCCUUGUUGCCACAGUAGGAUAAGGAUCCAGCAUUGGCACGGUUGUGGCUUGAGUUCAGUCUCUGACCCAGGAACUUCCACAUGCCAUGGGCUUGCCCCCUCCCCUCAAAAAAAGGCUAAAAUGUUAUAUUUUAUCACAAUUAAAAAACAGCUUUUUUUUUUUUUCCCCUGCACCCACAGUACAUGGAAGUUCCUGGGCCAGGGAAUGAACCCACACCUCAGCAAUGACGCAAGCUGCUGGAGAGACAAUGGCAGAUCCUUAACCAUAAUGGCCACACAGCAGGAACUCUAAAAAACAACUUUUUAUUGCUACCUUUAAUGUAAAAGCAGAUGAGGGGGGAGGGAUAAGGACUUGUAUUCUUAUUUGUUUGUGUAUGGGCACAGAAAUUCUGGAAAGAUACUCAGGAAAUCAGGAGCAGUGGGUUUCCUGUGGGGAAAAGGAGGGGAACUAAGACUUGGGAAAUACUGCAGUGUAAACUUUAUGCUUUUUGUUUGUGCAGCACAUGAAUGCAUCCACUAUUCAAAAAUAAAAUUAGUUAAGAAAUAUGGAGAAUGGCUUUAUUUAGGAUUAGUAAGAUUUGAGUU
rnacentral:lncRNA from 1 species